CAGUCGCCGCGGUAAAACGAAGGGGGCUAGCGUUGUUCGGAAUUACUGGGCGUAAAGCGCACGUAGGCUGACAUUUAAGUCAGGGGUGAAAUCCCGGGGCUCAACCUCGGAACUGCCUUUGAUACUGGGUGUCUUGAGUGUGGAAGAGGUAAGUGGAAUUGCGAAUGUAGAGGUGAAAUUCGUAGAUAUUCGCAGGAACACCAGUGGCGAAGGCGGCUUACUGGUCCACAACUGACGCUGAGGUGCGAAAGCGUGGGGAGCAAACAGGAUUAGAUACCCCCGUAGUCCCUGUCUCUUAUAC
rnacentral:rRNA from 1 species